ensembl:lincRNA
GUUCUUCCCAUUGUGUAGAUGCUCCUUGACUUAUGAUGAGGUUACAUUCCAAUAAACCUAUUUAACUUAAUGGUUUAAAUUGAUGUCAUAUUGAAAGACAAAAUUUCCACAAGAAGAGACACUUUGAAUACAGAAAAUUCUCAAAAAUGCCUCUCUCAAUCAAGUUCCAUCUUGUGAUACUUUUACUCUCACCUUCGUAGGCCUAUCAGUUCACUUAUUCUGAGAAAUCAACUUGGAAUAUCAAGGAGUGAAACAGAUUGGCUAAGGUACUCAAAAACAUAACAACUGGUGCCCACUUCUUUACUUUGUCAUAACUAAACAAGGCAUCCGAAUAACCUGUUAUAGAAGCAAAAUUAUCUUCAAGGUGACUCUCCAUCCAUUUCUGUAUUAUAAGAGUGACCUGUCAUGCUGCACUGUGGAUAUCAGACAUUUCCUCUUUCUUCCGCUCGGUUCCAUUCACAAUGAACAGUUAUGUGUGCAUUCUAGACAACCUUGGCAAGCGAUGGAUUGAUAUACCAGCU